ensembl:snRNA U6 U6 spliceosomal RNA
GUGCUCGCUUUGGCAACAGGUAUACUAAAAUUGGAAUGAUACAGAGAACAUUAUCAUGGCCUCUGCACAAGGAUGACAUGCAAAUUCAGGAAGCAUUCCACAUUUUU